rnacentral:rRNA from 1 species
GACGAACGCUGGCGGCGUGCUUAACACAUGCAAGUCGAACGGAAAGGCCCUGCUUUUGUGGGGUGCUCGAGUGGCGAACGGGUGAGUAACACGUGAGUAACCUGCCCUUGACUUUGGGAUAACUUCAGGAAACUGGGGCUAAUACCGGAUAGGAGCUCCUGCUGCAUGGUGGGGUUUGGAAAGUUUCGGCGGUUGGGGAUGGACUCGCGGCUUAUCAGCUUGUUGGUGGGGUAGUGGCUUACCAAGGCUUUGACGGGUAGCCGGCCUGAGAGGGUGACCGGCCACCUUGGGACUGAGAUACGGCGCAGAGUCCAACGGGAGACAGCAGUGGGGAAUAUUGCACAAUGGGCGGAAGCCUGAUGCAGCAACGCCGCGUGCGGGAUGACGGCCUUCGGGUUGUAAACCGCUUUCGCCUGUGACGAAGCGUGAGUGACGGUAAUGGGUAAAGAAGCACCGGCUAACUACGUG